CAGUAGCCGCGGUAAAACGAAGGGGGCUAGCGUUGCUCGGAAUUACUGGGCGUAAAGGGCGCGUAGGCGGAUAGUUUAGUCAGAGGUGAAAGCCCAGGGCUCAACCUUGGAACUGCCUUUGAUACUGGCUAUCUUGAGUUCGGGAGAGGUGAGUGGAAUGCCGAGUGUAGAGGUGAAAUUCGUAGAUAUUCGGCGGAACACCAGUGGCGAAGGCGACUCACUGGCCCGAUACUGACGCUGUGGCGCGAAAGCGUGGGGAGCAAACAGGAUUAGAUACCCCCGUAGUCCCUGUCUCUUAUAC
rnacentral:rRNA from 1 species